UCGCCCUACGGGGGGCAGCAGUGAGGAAUAUUGGUCAAUGGGCGGGAGCCUGAACCAGCCAAGUCGCGUGAGGGAAGACGGUCCUACGGAUUGUAAACCUCUUUUGCCGGGGAGCAACGGGGUCCUUGCGAGGGCCCGAUGAGAGUACCCGGAGAAAAAGCAUCGGCUAACUCCGUGCCAGCAGCCGCGGUAAUACGGAGGAUGCGAGCGUUAUCCGGAUUUAUUGGGUUUAAAGGGUGCGUAGGCGGAAUAUCAAGUCAGCGGUAAAAAUUCGGGGCUCAACCCCGUCGUGCCGUUGAAACUGG
rnacentral:rRNA from 1 species